GAUGAACGCUGGCGGCGUGCCUAAUACAUGCAAGUCGAGCGAACAGACGAGGAGCUUGCUCCUCUGAUGUUAGCGGCGGACGGGUGAGUAACACGUGGAUAACCUACCUAUAAGACUGGGAUAACUUCGGGAAACCGGAGCUAAUACCGGAUAACAUGUUGAACCGCAUGGUUCAACAGUGAAAGACGGUCUUGCUGUCACUUAUAGAUGGAUCCGCGCCGCAUUAGCUAGUUGGGAAGGUAACGGCUUACCAAGGCAACGAUGCGUAGCCGACCUGAGAGGGUGGUCGGCCACACGGGAACUGAGACACGGUCCAGACUCCUACGGGAGGCAGCAGUAGGGAAUCUUCCGCAAUGGGCGAAAGCCUGACGGAGCAACGCCGCGUGAGUGAAGAAGGUCUUCGGAUCGUAAAACUCUGUUAUUAGGGAAGAACAAAUGUGUAAGUAACUAUGCACGUCUUGACGGUACCUAAUCAGAAAGCCACGGCUAACUACGUG
rnacentral:rRNA from 1 species